AACGAACGCUGGCGGCAUGCCUAACACAUGCAAGUCGAACGAGACCUUCGGGUCUAGUGGCGCACGGGUGCAUAACGCGUGGGAAUCUGCCCUUGGGUUCGGGAUAACAGUUGGAAACGACUGCUAAUACCGGAUGAUGACUUCGGUCCAAAGAUUUAUCGCCCAGGGAUGAGCCCGCGUCGGAUUAGCUAGUUGGUGAGGUAAGAGCUCACCAAGGCGACGAUCCGUAGCUGGUCUGAGAGGAUGAUCAGCCACACUGGGACUGAGACACGGCCCAGACUCCUACGGGAGGCAGCAGUGGGGAAUAUUGGACAAUGGGCGAAAGCCUGAUCCAGCAAUGCUGCGUGAGUGAUGAAGGCCUUAGGGUUGUAAAGCUCUUUUACCCGGGAUGAUAAUGACAGUACCGGGAGAAUAAGCCCCGGCUAACUCCGUG
rnacentral:rRNA from 1 species